GCGCCCGUAGCUCAAAGGAUAGAGCAGCGGCCUUCUAAGCCGUUGGUUGCAGGUUCGACUCCUGCCGGGCGCGCCA
rnacentral:tRNA from 1 species